GGGGAAGAGCCUGAAUGGGGAGGUAGAGCAGACAGCUAAAGUGGCUGCUGAGCACAGGAGGGGAGAAGCCUUUUGCUGGGCCAAGAAGAGGAGAACUGCCUCAGGGACAGCGGAGAUCAAGGAGUGGACUGCAAGAUACACUCAGGAACAAUUAUAGCAGACCAGGCUGUAGGCAGCACAUGAUGGAUGGAUGGGCUGAGACAGCGAGAUCGCAUAAGCUGCAUUCCCCUGGGAAACCAGACUGAAAACACAUAAGCAGAGGGGCAGUCUGACAACAAGGCAUCUGACAUGGAAGUGUGGAUGAAGCAAAGGUGUGUCACUGAAUUCCUCCAUGUGGAAAAGAUGGCACCCACUGACAUUCACUGAAGCUUGAUGUAUGUUUAUGGAGACCAAACGCGCUCCCUACAAGAUUCCUUACAACAGAUGUUAUGACGCACUUGGAGGAACGUGAACCAAAUUGUAGAAUUACUGCUAGGAAACUCCAGGCCACCCUGCUGCCUCUACCUGCAUUUGAAUAUGAUCUCCGUAACUGUAGAGGAAAGGAUGAGGAAGAGAAAUCCUUACCUGAGGACAUGUUGCAGAAGGACCAAGCCCUGCCUUUCCAAACCUUGGAGGCCACAUGGAGCCAGGCUGGGAGCAAUCACAAUCCUAUUCCAACAACUUUAUGGUUUUAACUGACAGGCCUGCGUAUGGACCGGGCAAGGUUGUUUGGCUUCUGAUGCUUUUUCAGUUGACAUCCUCAUGAUCUCAACAAACUGUAAGUGUUCCCUCCUCCACCUCGAUUCCACAUGACCCCAGAGCACUGUCCUUCUGCUUAUGCGUUCAGCCCAUUCCUCCAAAAGACUGCAAAAAAUGCUGUGUCUAUAGGACUGGGCUUGGGCAAGACUCAAGUUCCAGGGUUGAAUUUUCCAGAGAAUUUCAAAAGCAGGGGUGUGCAAUCGCUUGAAUUACGGUUUGCUUACAUCCUGAGCCCACAGGCAAAAAUUCCUCAAACAGCAUUAGAUGUUCUCUAAGUCACAAUGCCCUGAAAGUAUUUCAGUCCUUCCUGAAGGUGUAAUAGCGUGUAUAUAAUUAUAUACAUAUUAUAUAUAAGUUUAAAACAUAUAAAUGGAAAGCAAAUUUGCAUUUAUGUCAUAAUUCGGUGAGCAAAUCAUAUUCACCUCAGUGAUGGAG
ensembl:lncRNA